GUCUACGGCCAUACCACCCUGAACGCGCCCGAUCUCGUCUGAUCUCGGAAGCUAAGCAGGGUCGAGCCUGGUUAGUACUUGGAUGGGAGAGAGAGAGACAGAGACAGAGACA
rnacentral:rRNA from 1 species